AUUGAUAUAUAUAUAUAUAUAGAGAGAGAGAGAGAGAGUUUGGCUAUGAUGCUUGUAAAAACACCAACUCUUGGUGUUUGUGAAUUUUUUACCGUUAGAUUUAUGCUUUUGAUCAUUUUCACCCGUUAGAUUGUCCUGUUCAACCAACCACCCACUCAACCCUAGGGGUCCCACAUUAUUCUAACUGUACAUCUCUUAAUCCAAUGGCCAAAAAUCUACGAGCAUCAAUAAUUUUAUAUUUUAAAAAUAUAGAAGCUCAAUUUUAUAUAUAUAUAUAUAUAUAUAUAUAUAUAUA
rnacentral:lncRNA from 1 species